UUACGGUCAAAUCACGCUGAAAACACCGGUUCUCGUUCGAUCACCGAAGUUAAGCAUCGUAGAGCCAGGUCAGUACUUAGAUGGGGGACCAC
rnacentral:rRNA from 1 species